rnacentral:rRNA from 1 species
GACGAACGCUGGCGGCGUGCUUAACACAUGCAAGUCGAGCGAUGAAAGCCUUAUGAACUAUUCGUAGUGAUUGAGGCCGGAUUAGCGGCGGACGGGUGAGUAACGCGUGAGCAACCUGCCUUAAACAACGGGAUAGCCUCGGGAAACCGGGAUUAAUACCGUAUGAGACCCCGCCUUCACAUGAAGAAGAGGUUAAAGAUUUAUCGGUUUAAGAUGGGCUCGCGUCUGAUUAGCUAGUUGGUGAGAUAAAAGCCCACCAAGGCAACGAUCAGUAACCGGCUUGAGAGAGUGAACGGUCACAUUGGAACUGAGACACGGUCCAAACUCCUACGGGAGGCAGCAGUGGGAAUAUUGCACAAUGGGGGAAACCCUGAUGCAGUGACGCCGCGUGAGCGAUGAAGGAAUUCGUUUCGUAAAGCUCUGUCCAAGGGGAAGAUAAUGACAGUACCCUUGGAGGAAGCCCCGGCUAAAUACGUGCCAGCCGCCGCAGUAAUAC